rnacentral:rRNA from 1 species
GCACAAGCGGUGGAUUAUGUGGUUUAAUUCGAUGAUACGCGAGGAACCUUACCAAGACUUAAAUGGGAAUUGAUCGGUUUAGAAAUAGACCUUCCUUCGGGCAAUUUUCAAGGUGUGCAUGGUUGUCGUCAGCUCGUGCCGUGAGGUGUUAGGUUAAGUCCUGCAACGAGCGCAACCCCUGUCACUAGUUGCCAUCAUUCAGUUGGGGACUCUAGUGAGACUGCCUACGCAAGUAGAGAGGAAGGUGGGGAUGACGUCAAAUCAUCACGGCCCUUACGUCUUGGGCCACACACGUAAUACAAUGGCCGGUACAGAGGGCAGCUACACAGCGAUGUGAUGCAAAUCUCGAAAGCCGGUCUCAGUUCGGAUUGGAGUCUGCAACUCGACUCUAUGAAGCUGGAAUCGCUAGUAAUCGCGCAUCAGCCAUGGCGCGGYGAAUACGUUCCCGGGCCUUGUACACACCGCCCGUCAAGCCAUGGAAGUCUGGGGUACCUGAAGUCGGUGACCGUAACAGGAGCUGCCUAGGGUAAAACAGGUAACUAGGGCUAAGUCGUAACAA